GUGGCAGCCACAUUGAACAGCAGGUGGGGAGCUGCUGUCUUAUUUCUUGUCUUUUCCCGCUGAAAGCGUCCCUCUGACGAAGAUCAAGUCCAUGCGGGAGAGCCUGCGGGAGAGGGACCUGCUGAGAGACUACCUCCAGCGGCACCCCUACAGCCAGGCCUACAAGCUCCUGCGCCAGCCGCGCGUCACUGUCCAGUCCUUGAGGAACUACCUGGACAUGAACUACGUUGGCACCAUCAGCAUUGGAACGCCCCCUCAGAAGUUCAAGGUCAUCUUUGACACGGGCUAGGCUGACUUGUGGGUGCCCUCCAUCUACUGCUUCAGUCCCGCCUGUGUGACACACAGAACCUUCGACCCUCUUCGGUCGUCCACCUUCCGGUAC